AAAGGGAGACCUAAUUCAGGUAGGAGACGAAAAAAAGUAGUCGCUACCAAGAAUCAAUCCCAAAAGGUCGGAGCGAGGCAAAAUUGGCUUUCAAACUAGGUUCUGGGUUCAAACAAGACCUGAAUCAGGAACAAGGGCUAUUAGCUCAGGUGGUUAGAGCGCACCCCUGAUAAGGGUGAGGUCCCUGGUUCGAGUCCAGGAUGGCCCACCUGCACAGGUGGCAAAAACAAGAGAAGCGAGGAAUCAGCACCUUAUCUUAUAUACAUAUAUAAGAGAGAAUGCUGGCUCUGAGUACAGAGUCCAGAGGAACCUUGAAAACUGCAUAGAGCUAGGUGAAAAAGCCAAAAAAGAAGACCGCAAG
rnacentral:tRNA from 1 species